GGGGAAUAUUGCACAAUGGAGGAAACUCUGAUGCAGCGACGCCGCGUGAGUGAAGAAGGUCUUCGGAUCGUAAAACUCUGUCCUUGGUGACGAAAAAAAUGACGGUAGCCAAGGAGGAAGCCCCGGCUAACUACGUGCCAGCAGCCGCGGUAAUACGUAGGGGGCGAGCGUUGUCCGGAUUUACUGGGCGUAAAGGGUGAGUAGGCGGUAAUAUGUGUCAGAUGUAAAAGGCUAUGGCUUAACCAUAGUUAGCAUUUGAAACUGUAUUACUUGAGUGCAGGAGAGGUAAGUGGAAUUCCUAGUGUAGCGGUGAAAUGCGUAGAUAUUAGGAGGAACACCAGUGGCGAAGGCGACUUACUGGACUGUAACUGACGCUGAGUCACGAAAGCGUGGGUAGCAAAC
rnacentral:rRNA from 1 species